CCCUUAGACGUUCUGGGCCGUACGCGCGCUACACUGACAAAGGCAACGAGCUACUCUUCACCGAAAGGUGUGGGUAAUCUUUUGAAACUUUGUCGUGCUGGGGAUAGAUCCUUGCAAUUUUUGAUCUUAAACGAGGAAUUCCUAGUAAGCGCAAGUCAUCAACUUGCGUUGAUUACGUCCCUGCCCUUUGUACACACCGCCCGUCGCUACUACCGAUUGAAUGGUUUAGUGAGGCCUUCGGAUCCGCGACUCGUUUGUGGAGAAGUUGGACAAACUCAGUCAUUUAGAGGAAGUAAAAGUCGUAACA
rnacentral:rRNA from 1 species